rnacentral:lncRNA from 7 species
GAGGAGUCAAUGGGGGACACGGGCUGGGAACUGUGGUGCGCUUAGGGGAUUCUCGCCGUGCCUCACAACAGCAUCACAGAGCACCACUGCUGAUUCAGUGUGGCCUUGAUGUGCACCGGCCUUUCCUGUGUGGUGUGAAGAAGAAGCCUGCAAUACCUCAGCUUCCAAGAGAUAAGGCCUCACAUCUUGCACACAGCAUCCAAAUAACCUUUUCAAAAGCAUUACUGGUGGGACACACAUGCAUUUCAGGGCCUAUGGAGAAGAAGCUUGUCAGUUUAUCCAGUCUUUUUCAAUAGGCUCCCAGCUCAGUCUGACAGCAAGCAGUAUUCCCAGUCUUACGGCAAUUAGAGAAGAGAAAUAUCCUUUGUGUUAGCGUUUUUCAUUCUGCUGGCCAGAAAGUUUGUUCCAAGUGUUGAAGACAAAAACAAAGCCUUCAUUGAGGCUAAUGGGGAGAGUGCCUCAUUCAUGACAGAAGGCAAAAAGGAAUUGGGAAGAUAAUAUGACAUUUUGCAGGCAUGCGAGUCUCAUUGAAUAGCAGUGUAAGAGCACUUUUCUGAGCACUAUCCAGCACUAUCCAUAGGAACUGCUCUGCAGUCCGUACACAAAUGUCUGUGCCAAUCUGAAGCAGCUAUUCUGUCAGUAAUUACAAAGUAAACACACAGCUGUGACACAUCCAGAUACCACUGGCUGCAUCCAAGUGUCCAUCGUACAGAAGCACUCUUGAGGCACUCUCAGGCACAGAAGUUUUUUAGUUCCUAAAGGUACUUUUCAUAGGAGGUGUGGAAGAAAUGUGAGAAAGAGGUGUCUUAGAUGAGAGGAGACGACUGGACUAUGUGGAUCAAGGGAGAAGAUUUCAUCGGCCUGAUGAUUCUCUGCUGGAAAUCAGUGGAUGACUCAAAGCAAAGACAAAAGGCAGCCAAGUGUCAGACAGCAAAAGACAACACCGUUUUUCUUUCUUCAUGACAGCUGGGAUGAACAUUUGCAAGAUACGGAUCCAAAUGUUUCUAAACGCCGAAAAGAUCGUUAGAAAAAAAGAAAAGCUUAUGUGUACAUACAUACUAUGGAGCACUUCUGGCUGCACUUUUGUCGAGAGAAUGAUUCUCAAUGGGCCCCAUGAAUCUCAGCCUGAGUGUUGGCUGAUACAAGAAGAAGAGCAUUUGAGUGAGCAAACCCAGAAGGUGGGUUUGAGGACGGACCGGGCUGCAAGCUUCCAACCUGCGUAGUACAGAAGGACUCUCAGCAACUGGCCCAAGAGGAAACUGAAGAUGACUUGGUCCUGUGCUGUAGUAACAACACUUCACUGCUUUGG